CAGACACCUUCGUAUCGCCUUUGCCUCGACCCCGCCCCCUGAGUAGUAUUGAACCCUGGCAGCGGAGCCCACCGUGUCCACCGUGACUCCCCUCACAUCCACACCCUCCUCCUCCUCCUCCUCCAUCCUCUCCCUCCCUACUUCCUCCCCCAAGCCUUUAAUAGGCUACGUUAUUCAAGUUCGCCAAGAACUCGGACGGAGAGCUCGCGGACCCCGGCGCACGCUCGCGACCAUGUAAUCCGCCCCUGAGCGCAGCAGCAGCAGCACGAGCGAGGAGGAGAGCCGCGCGCGCGCCGGAGUAAAAACCACCAACCCUCGGAAUAUUACUGGAUUUUGCGCGCGCUGUUUUGAGCAGAUUAAUCAUGCACGCUUUUCUCUGGGGUCUGGGCUUGUUCAUACUUCUCCCCGACUUUGUGCAUGGGACCCGGAGAGCUCCGGUACGCGCGAGAAAAGCCAGAUCACUGGAGCACACCGGAGCGCACGAGAUCGUGACGCCCAUCAGAGUGACCGAGGCCGGGGACGCGUUGCCCCAGAGCGCGCACUUCAGACGCAGGAAGCGGAGCGCCGAUAACGACACGGAACCGGCACACUGGGAAUCCGAGCACGUGCAUUACAGACUCUCCGCCUUCGGUCGGGACUAUCACUUGAACCUGACGCUCGAGGCGGGAUUUAUUGCGCCGCUUUAUACCGUAUCCAUCGUUGGCGCGAUGAACCGGACGCACCAGGAGGAAAAGGAAGUGGAGGAGGACGAAACGGUGUACCGGCACUGUUUUUAUAAAGGACACGUGAACGGAGAAACGGAGCACGCCGCCGUCAUCAGCCUCUGUUCUGGCCUGCUUGGCACUUUCAGGUCGUCAGAAGGGGAGUAUUUUGUGGAGCCUCUUCACAGCUACAAUGGUGAACAUUAUGAAGAAGAACACAUCAAACCUCAUAUUGUGUACAGAAAAGAUGCACACAGGAGGGCCAAAGAAGACGAGUCGUUAUGUGAUACUGCAGGUGAUAAAGCAGCUGCUGAGAAAAACAUGGUGUCUGGGAGUUUGGCGUCUGACCUGGAGAGUCUCAGCGCAGGGCUUCUCUCUGGCUCUUUACCCUCGACAGAAGACAAGCAGCUAUCAGCUAACCACAGCAGCAGUGACUCAGGACCUCACCGGAGAGCAAAGCGCUUCCUCUCCUACCCGCGCUUCGUGGAAGCCAUGGUCGUUGCUGACUACAAGAUGGUGGAAUAUCACAGGAGCAACCUCCAGCACUACGUUCUGACACUAAUGUCUAUUGUUUCCUCGAUCUACAAGGAUCCCAGCAUUGGCAAUCUAAUCCACAUUGUCAUUGUGAAGCUAGUCAUAAUAAACAAUGAGCUGAAGGGUCCAGUUAUCUCUUUCAAUGCACAAGCCACUUUAAAGAACUUCUGUGUCUGGCAGCUGGACCAGAACAACCUCGACGACGAACACCAUGACCACUACGACACGGCCAUCCUCAUCACCAGGCAGGACAUCUGUCGAGCAAAAGACAAGUGUGACACUUUAGGUCUUGCAGAAUUAGGCACAGUGUGUGAUCCGUACAGGAGCUGCAGCAUCAGCGAAGAUAGCGGCCUCAGUACCGCUUUCACUAUCGCUCAUGAACUCGGCCACGUGUUCAACAUGCCCCAUGAUGACAGUAACAAAUGUAAAGAGGACGGUGUUAAGAUUCAGCAGCACGUCAUGGCCCCUACACUCAACUACAACACCAACCCCUGGAUGUGGUCCAAAUGCAGCAGAAAAUACAUCACAGAGUUCCUCGACACAGGGUAUGGAGAGUGUUUGCUCGACGAGCCCGUGUCCAGGCCGUACCCCCUGCUCCAGCAACUCCCGGGGCGCAUAUACAGCGUCAAUCAACAAUGCGAACUCAUAUUUGGACCUGGAACACAAGUCUGCUCAUAUAUGAUGCAGUGUCGACGGCUUUGGUGCAUGAGUCCAGAAGGACCUCAGCGUGGCUGUCGAACCCAGCACAUGCCCUGGGCUGACGGCACUGACUGUGGCCAUGGAAGGCACUGUAAGCAUGGCGUGUGCACCCCGAAGGAGCACGACUUGGGUCCGGUGGACGGAGAGUGGGGCGUGUGGAGUCCCUUCGGCUCCUGCUCACGCACAUGUGGAGGGGGCAUCAAGAUCGCCACCCGGGACUGCAACAGACCCGCACCUAGGAACGGGGGACAGUACUGCGUGGGGCGCAGGAUGAAGUUUCGCUCGUGCAACUCCGAGCCAUGUUCUAUACAGAGACGAGACUUCAGAGAGGAGCAGUGCGCUGCUUUCGACGGCCGCCAUUUUAACAUCAACGGUCUACCUCCAAAUGUGCGCUGGGUGCCCAAGUACAGCGGAAUUCUAAUGAAGGACCGCUGCAAGCUCUUCUGCAGAGUAGCAGGAAACACAGCCUACUAUCAGCUCAAGGACCGAGUGAUCGAUGGCACGCCGUGUGGCCCCGAUACCAACGACAUCUGUGUGCAAGGCCUGUGUAGGCAAGCAGGUUGUGACCAUGUUUUAAACUCCAAGGCCAGGAGAGAUAAAUGUGGAGUGUGUGGAGGAGACAACUCGUCCUGUAAGACAGUGGCAGGGACACUGAGUACGGUGCACUACGGUUACAACCUCGUCGUGCGAAUCCCCAGCGGUGCUACCAACAUAGACGUGCGACAGCACAGCUACUCAGAUAAACCAGAGGAUGAUAACUACCUCGCCGUGGCCAACAGUCGUGGAGAAUAUUUACUGAAUGGAGAUUUUGUGGUCAGCAUGUUUAAAAGGGAAGUCAAAGUCGGGAGAGCCGUCCUGGAGUACAGCGGCUCCGACCACGUCGUCGAGAGACUCAACUGCACCGACCGCAUCGAGGAGGAGAUCGUCAUCCAGGUUCUGUCUGUAGGUAACCUGUUCAAUCCAGACGUCAGGUAUUCCUAUAACAUUCCCAUCGAAGACAUGACUCAGCAUUUUAUCUGGGACGCGUACGGCCCGUGGCAGGAGUGUAGCCGCCUGUGCCAAGGGGAGCGUAAGAGGAAAAUCCUGUGCAAUCGUGAGUUGGACCACAUGGUGGUUUCGGAUCAAAGGUGCCAUGGCUCACCUCGACCGGAGGCCUUCACAGAACCGUGCAACACAGACUGUGAACUCAGGUGGCACGUGGCCCGUAAGAGCGAGUGCACGGCUACAUGUGGACUGGGUUACCGCACGCUGGAAAUCUACUGCGCGAAAUACAACCGUAAUGACGGCAAAACCCAGAGAGUUGAUGAGCAAAACUGCAGCCACCUGCAGAAACCUGACAAUAAGGAGGUUUGCCAUGGUGACUGUAACCCCGGCGUGUGGGAGUACUCGCCCUGGUCGGAGUGCUCAAAAAGUUGCGGAGGGGGGACACGCCGUCGGAGCGCCACGUGUAUGUCGCCUGAGAACGAUGAGAGUAAAUGCAACUCGAGGGACAAACUCGUAGUCCAGCCCUGCAACGAGUUCCCGUGUCCGCAAUGGAGGACUGGCGAGUGGUCAGAGUGCCUGGUGACGUGUGGGAAAGGCUAUAAACACCGUCAGACGUGGUGUCAGUUCGGAGACGAGCGGCUAGACGAGCGCUUCUGCAGCUCGGCCAAACCGGAGUCGGUGCAGGCGUGUCAGCAGCAGGAGUGUGCAUCCUGGCAGUUCGGCUCCUGGGGCCCGUGCACCACCUCCUGUGGCCCCGGCUAUCAAAGAAGAGUUGUGAAGUGUGUCGUCAGCUCGUCCGGCUCGGUCAGGGACGACACUGACUGUAACGCAGCGACACGCCCCACUGACACACAGGACUGCGAAGUCUCGCCGUGCCCCGUCACCCAUCCUGUUUCCCCAGACACCAAGCCGGUUCCUCAUCCGGGCCACAAAACCCAGUGGCGCUUUGGAUCAUGGACUCAGUGUAGCGCCACCUGCGGGAAGGGAAUACGGAUGCGCUAUGUCAGCUGUCGUGACACUCAGGGCGGCGUGGCGGAGGAUUCAUGGUGUGCUCAUCUCCCCAAACCUCCCGCUACGGACGUGUGCUCCGUGUUGGCGUGUGGUCAGUGGAAGGUUCUGGAAUGGUCUCAGUGCUCUGUUUCCUGCGGUCAGGGUAAAGCUGCUCGUCAGGUUCUCUGCGUGAACUUCAGCGAUCAGGUGGUGGACGUGAGCGAGUGUGACGCGGACGAUCGGCCGGCGACGGAGCAGGAGUGCGCCAUGCCCCAGUGCCCGUCUCGGCCCGGUGACCACGCCCCCUUCCCUCCUAACCAAGACGCCCGUAAAAAAGCCGCACCCGCUGGGAGGGCGGAUCGACUCCGGGGGGCGCGUCCGCAGUCGCAGUGGCGGUUCGGACCGUGGGGAGCGUGCUCGAGCACGUGUGCCGGAGGAUUCCAGAGGCGGGCGGUUGUGUGCCAGGAUGAGAACGGUUACCCGGCUAACAGCUGCGACGAGAGCGUUCGACCUGCGGAACAGCGCGGCUGUGAGUCUGGACCGUGUCCACAGUGGGUGUACGGCAACUGGGGCAAGUGUUCGAAACCCUGUGGCGGUGGAGUAAAGACGCGCCUCGUGGUCUGUCAGCGUCCCAGCGGCGAACGCUUUAGCGAUCAGAGCUGCGAGAUUCUGGACAAACCGCCUGACCGAGAGCAGUGCAACAUGCAGCCGUGCUCCCACUGGAGAGCCGAACCGUGGAGCUCGUGCCCCGCCUCCUGUGGGAAGGGCUUCAGACGCCGCAACGUGACCUGCGUCAGCCGCUCUGGCCAACCAACAGCCGAAGAGAACUGUCUGCACUUGCCCCGCCCCCGUAAGGAGAAGUCCUGCAAAGGUGGGAAGUGCCCCAAGUGGAAAACGAGCAUCUGGGGAGAGUGUAGCGUGACGUGUGGUUCUGGCCUGACGAGUCGCGCCGUGGUGUGUGUGAAUCACAGCGGGGACGAGAUCCACGACUCGCACUGUUCGGCGCAGAAGAGACCAAACCAGAGCGAGCCGUGUAACACUCAACCCUGCGAGUUCGUCUGGAUCACAGGGGACUGGGAGGAGUGCUCUGUCACCUGUGGUCAGGGCUACCAGAGGAGGCGGGUCUCCUGCAGCGAAGUGCAUUCUGGGAAUGAGAAUUACGUAUACAGCCACCAUGGGUCAUCCCACUGCCCGGGGACACCUCCUGAGAGCUACCAAGCGUGCAGACUACCUUCGUGCCCUUCGAGCCAGGUGUACAGCUGGAGAGUGGGCAUCUGGGGACCUUGUUCAGUGAGCUGUGCUGAUGGUUGGAUGGAGCGCAUGGUGCAGUGUUAUUCAGACGAAGGGGAGCUCAGUGAUGAGUGUGACUCCAGCUCGAAGCCAGAGACUCGGAGGUCAUGCAGUAACCCAGACUGUAUAUUGCCGUUUAGCUGCAGGGAUGUGCAGAUGCAGAACGGUGUUGUAUCUGACGGAGAGCAGCUUCUCAGUGUACAGGGCAAAGCACGUAACAUCUACUGUUCAGAGAUGCACACGGAAAGUCCGAAAGAGUACAUCACUCUCACGACCGGAGAGGGCGAGAACUUCUCUGAGGUUUUUGCAUACAGGCUGAUGGAUCCCACGCAGUGUCCAUCAAAUCUGAUCCACAGAGAGGAGUGCCAGUGCCGGAGAGACUACACAGCCGCUGGCCUUUCCACGUUCACCCGGGUCCGACUGGACCUGAGCAAGAUGACCAUCGUCACCACAGAUUGGAAGUACUCGUACACUCGAGAAGGUCAUAAGGUUCCCUUCGCCACAGCAGGGGACUGCUACAGCGCCGCCCGCUGCCCACAGGGCCGAUUCCGACUCAACCUCUCAGGAACAGGCUUCCAGGUGGCUGAGAAUACCCAAUGGAUUUCCCAAGGGAACUACGCCGUGGCGGACAUCCACAAGUCCCAGGAUGGCAGUAGAGUGACAGGAAUGUGUGGUGGCUACUGUGGCAAAUGCACUCCAUCUUCCAGUUCAGGCCUCCUCAUCCAAGUUUCAUGAGAAACCUUCUUACAGGUCCAGACUUACAUUCUUCAUUCUUAUAGCGACGACACAUUUGGGUGACAAAUUCAAGGAAAAAACAAACAUUAAGUGUCUGAGUGGUACAAGAACAGCUUCAGUGUACACAGGUACAGAUUGUACAAGUCUCUGGAAUUGCACUGUCGAGACGUACACCGUUCUUGUCGACGUCCUGAUGAAGGUGACGGAGAGAGCCGUCCGAAACGUCGCUCCAAAACCUUAAAUGGGGUUCAGCUGAGCUGAGAUCUGGGUUAGGUCGGAGGCCGUAGCAUCUGAUUCUACAUCGUUUUUAUCAUCGCCGAACCAUUCAGUGAGCUCUCGAAGCACUGGGGAUGGGGGCGGGGUCAUCCUGGAAGUGACCACGCCCACCAGGAUAGAUACUUUUAUCAUAGGAUAAAAGUGAUCAGUCAGAAGAGCUUUCUAUUGAUUUGCAGUGACGCUUUCCUCUAAAGGGACACGUGCACGCAAAGCAAGCUGGCAAAAUAAAUAAAUACGCCCAAACGUAACGUAGCCACCAUUUUUUCCCUUUAAUUUGACACCCGUCUGACCUUUUACGGAACUGGGAUUGUGCAGCUAUAGGUAUCAACCUAUAGAGCUGUAGAACUAAAUGGUAUAAGGAUUGAAACAAGUGAGAUCAGCCUUGAAAGUAAACCAUUUGACGUUCUCUUCUCUUGGGGUUCUCCUCUCUAUUUGGUGCUAAAGACAAUAAAGACAACGAAGAACGCUCCUCGUCCAUCCCGACUUCCUGCUGUCCAUGUGUAAAUAUCAGCCGGUGUAUGUAAUGUACAGAUCGUGUUGAAUUAUUUAUUAUAACCCACAUUUAUUUUUAUACAAUUAUUUAAAAUGUUAACGAAGCCAUUUGUGAAUUGUCGCAAAUUUUGUUUUGGGUUUUAUAAUAAGUGUUUUUCGUCAUCGAAAAAUCUUUUGCAUCAGGGUGGGUAGGACAUAAAGAAACCAGCAGCUCCACAAUAACACACGGGGGGAAAAAGUAUUUACAUCCUACGCUUUCAUGUUCCAUACAUACGACCCGUGGAGGGUUAAGACUCUGUGGGUGCUGUAGAAAGGAAGUCAGGUUUUCCUAACCGACCUAGCUAGAGUUCUGGAGAUCUCGCCGAUCGAUGAUGUAAGCAGAAUGUAGUUUUCUUGAAUCACAGGUCUAUCAUUCGAGGAUGAGAUGUCUGAUUUGGGAUCAUCUCGUAGUAUGUGUGACAAGAAAUAAUCUUAAAAGACAGGCUGAAAGCGGGAUUAGCUUAGUGGAGGCAAAAUGGAAACUCGGGAUGAGUCUAGAGAAUGAAGCAGGUAAGGGAAGUCGCUCUGGGAAUGUAACCUUCAUAAGCAGGUGGAAAACAUUUCGCUGAUUGUAACGUUUCAGACAGCGUAAGCCGCAUGUAUCAGUGGACAAACAAGGCCCAGAACGUACACAACUAUAAAGUUAGGCAAGACUCCGAUUAUGAAUGGAAUAGCAGAAUAAAAACGUCGACUGAGGGGUCUGAGAGAAAAUCGGCCGUGCUCUGUGGGUGGGAGGAAUGGCGUUACUCACUACUGUCAAUCACGGUGGCACUAACCAAUCGUAGGUGUCUGUGAGUUCGUGUAUUUGGGAAAGUGUAUACAGUGAAGGGGAGGGUAUAUAUAAAUAUAUAUAUAUAUAUAUUUUAAAUAAAAGGAAUAUUGCAGUUUGUUUCAUCCUCAUCUCUCCUGACCACAUCUGGAGUGAAUGUGUUAAUACUACACACACACACACACACACACACACACACACACACACAAAUCAUUUCCCAGUACUGAGGGGGAAAAAAACCCCUGAAAACCUGUUUACUUCAUACGUAGAAGUCUCAGGGCAGAUGUUGAAUUCUGUCGAUAAAUGUUUAAAAUAUAGUAUGUGCCUACAUUUUGCAAAAUUCAAACAAUACAACAAUUAAAACGUUAACCAUAAAGGUCCACGGAAAGAUAAGACGGAAGUGAAGAGUGUCUUCGCAAGAGUGGUUUUAUGAGAGAACAGCUAUCCAAGACUAUGUUAAGAAAUUCGGUAAAAAGUAGUUCCGGUUACUUUCCCUCAGAAGAAGUAGUCCAAAUUCUGGAAGAUAUACAGUACAGAAUAUACAGAUUGGAUCUUAUUUACAAAUAAAUCUGUCUCAAGAAUUAAAGUUUGUGGACUUUAAAUAUAUA